rnacentral:lncRNA from 1 species
AUGAUCAACGAAUGGCAACAAUCACAGCGAAGCCAACACGGCUACCACAGGCUCUUCAACUUGUUCCUGUCUCCAGCUUGCACUGCAAAAUCAGCAGCAAUGGCAACCCAUUCUGGAAUAACGUUCAUCAAUGAACUGCACCAGGAGCUCAUUCAGGUUCAGAACUGCCAUGGUUUAAAAGGGACCGUGUCAGACUGUUGCAGGAAGCAGUAA